GACAGAGGUGCCGAGCGUUAGGCGGAAUCACUGGGCUUAAAGCGUGUGUAGGCGGGCGGGCAAGUACCUUGUGAAAUCCCACGGCUCAACCGUGGAACGGCUGGGUAUACUGCCUGUCUUGAGCCAACUAGGGGCGAGCGGAACAGACGGUGGAGCGGUGAAAUGCGUAGAUAUCGUCUGGAACGCCAAAGGUGAAAACAGCUCGCUGGGGUUGUGCUGACGCUGAGAAGCGAAAGCAUGGGGGAGCGAACAGG
rnacentral:rRNA from 1 species